rnacentral:rRNA from 1 species
CCCUUAGAUGUUAUGGGCCGCACGCGCGCUACACUGACGGAUUCAACGAGCUUACAACCUUGGCCGAAAGGUCUGGGUAAUCUCCAAAAUCCGUCGUGAUGGGGAUAGAUUAUUGCAAUUAUUAAUCUUCAACGAGGAAUGCCUAGUAAGCGCAAGUCAUCAGCUUGCGUUGAUUACGUCCCUGCCCUUUGUACACACCGCCCGUCGCUCCUACCGAUUGAAUGGUCCGGUGAAGCGUUUGGACUAUGGUUUUCUGAUGGUCCGCCGUUGGAUUACCGUGGGAAGUUCGUUAAACCUUAUCAUUUAGAGGAAGGAGAAGUCGUAACA